UACGAAGGGGGCAAGCGUUGUUCGGAAUUACUGGGCGUAAAGAGCGCGUAGGCGGUCCAAUUAGUCAGAGGUGAAAUCCCAGGGCUCAACCCUGGAACGGCCUUUGAUACUGCUGGACUAGAAUCCGUGAGAGGGUGGUGGAAUUCCCAGUGUAGAGGUGAAAUUCGUAGAUAUUGGGAGGAACACCAGUGGCGAAGGCGGCCACCUGGCGCGGUAUUGACGCUGAGGCGCGAAAGCGUGGGGAGCAAAC
rnacentral:rRNA from 1 species